UCUACAAGCCAGACUGCUGUGAAUGCACCCAAUUUUAUGUGAUCUUGGAAACUAAGCAGGGUUGGGCCUGGUUAGUCCUUGUAGAG
rnacentral:rRNA from 1 species